rnacentral:sRNA from 1 species
ACCUAGCCCUGAUAGGAACGGCAUCCUUUUUCUUUUUUUAACAAAAAAAGAAAAAGAUAGAGUGGAUAGCAGGUAGAGUU